CAGCAGGCUGUCUAAACACUGGAGUGCUGAGAGACACUAGGUUGGUGAAACCAGUAUUAUUUUGUUAUAGUUUAACCCCUGAGAGAUAGGGAAUCUGAUGUUAGUUAGUGCUCAGACAAGCUAGGUUUUUGUUUAUAGGGAUUUGUGUUACAUUAUUGGUUUUUUUUUCCUUUACUCCUGUCUCCUGUGUGGAUUUACAAAUAAAGUGCCUGGAAUUAAGUUACUUUUAAAGACUGUGCAUCUUUAUACCCAAAGGGACCAUGCUAACUGCAGACAAGGAUCACUAUAUAUAUAUAUAUACAGGUAGUGUGAAGAUAGCACUCCCAGGACUCCAUAUAUUAAAGUAAAACUUAACUUUUAAUGUCCACAGUUAAGAGAUCAAGGUUUCAGUUUGCAACCCAAACUUUCAUCAGGAAUAAAUCCAUUGUUUGCCAGGAUCAAUUCAUCAGGAUAAAUAUCUGUAUCCAACUCAUGAACUGAUCCUGAUGAAAGUCCCAAUUGGGUACUGAAACGUUGUUCUUGCUUUUACUACAUUUAAAAAAAAAAAAAAAAAGUUGGAAUUUUAUUGAAAUUCAGUAAAAGCGGCCACCUAUUUAUAAAUCAAACAACUUAGGAAACACCAGAAAGACAACUAUAAAUAUCCAGUUUAUAAUCUGAGACUGAUAUCUGUAUUAAUAAUUCAAAGGAUGAAUUUACUUGCCCUAUUAACUCUGAGAGGCAGAAUAUAGAACACAUUCUUGCUUGUAGUCAUAAUUCUACUCUCCCUGGCCCUCCCUCCCUCUCUGACUUUCAAAAGGUUUAAUGAGAUGAACAGCUUUUCAGCUAUCAGCAAAGUGUGAUCUUACCUGCGAUAUCUGUGUGACAAGAACAUUCUACAAGGAAAACACAUGAAGAUAUAUCUACAUAGAAGGAUUAAUUAACUCUGUGUCUCUCUCGGUAGAUACAACAUUUAAGAACGGCUCAUCUUUCCUUAACAAAUAAGGAGACACGUGUAAUAUUUAAAUACACUGCAGUAAAUCAGG